UACGUAGGGGCCAAACGUUGUCCGGAUUUAUUGGGCGUAAAGAGCUCGUAGGCGGCUCAGUAAGUCGGAUGUGAAAACUCGGGGCUCAACCCCGAGACGCCAUCCGAUACUGCUGUGGCUUGAGUUUGGUAGGGGAGCACGGAAUUCCUGGUGUAGCGGUGAAAUGCGCAGAUAUCAGGAGGAACACCGAUGGCGAAGGCAGUGCUCUGGGCCAACACUGACGCUGAGGAGCGAAAGCGUGGGUAGCAAACAGG
rnacentral:rRNA from 1 species